AGAGUUUGAUCAUGGCUCAGAUUGAACGCUGGCGGCAUGCUUUACACAUGCAAGUCGAGCGGCAGCGNNGGGGGCAACCCUGGCGGCGAGCGGCGAACGGGUGAGUAAUGCAUCGGAACGUGUCCCGUAGUGGGGGAUAACGCCGCGAAAGCGGCGCUAAUACCGCAUAUGCUCUACGGAGGAAAGUGGGGGACCUGCAAGGCCUCACGCUAUGGGAGCGGCCGAUGUCCGAUUAGCUUGUUGGUGGGGUAAUGGCUUACCAAGGCGACGAUCGGUAGCUGGUCUGAGAGGAUGAUCAGCCACACUGGGACUGAGACACGGCCCAGACUCCUACGGGAGGCAGCAGUGGGGAAUUUUGGACAAUGGGGGCAACCCUGAUCCAGCCAUGCCGCGUGCGGGAAGAAGGCCUUCGGGUUGUAAACCGCUUUUGGUCGGGAAGAAAAGGCUGAGGCUAAUACCUUCGGUUUUUGACGGUACUGACAGAAUAAGCACCGGCUAACUACGUGCCAGCAGCCGCGGUAAUACGUAGGGUGCGAGCGUUAAUCGGAAUUACUGGGCGUAAAGCGUGCGUAGGUGGUUCGUUGUGUCUGUGGUGAAAGCCCCGGGCUUAACCUGGGAAUGGCCAUGGAAACUGGCGAGCUGGAGUCUGGCAGAGGGGGGUGGAAUUCCGCGUGUAGCAGUGAAAUGCGUAGAGAUGCGGAGGAACACCGAUGGCGAAGGCAGCCCCCUGGGCUAAGACUGACGCUGAGGCACGAAAGCGUGGGGAGCAAACAGGAUUAGAUACCCNNGUAGUCC
rnacentral:rRNA from 1 species